GAUUGAAACCCCGAUUCUCGUACGAUCACCGAAGUUAAGCAACGUCGAGCAAGGUCAGUACAUAGAUGACUGCUUGGGAAUACCGGAUGCUGUAAG